rnacentral:rRNA from 1 species
AUUGAACGCUGGCGGCAUGCCUUACACAUGCAAGUCGAACGGCAGCACGGGGCAACCUGGUGGCGAGUGGCGAACGGGUGAGUAAUGCAUCGGAACGUACCUUUCAGUGGGGGGUAACGUAGCGAAAGUUACGCUAAUACCGCAUAUUCUGUGAGCAGGAAAGCAGGGGAUCGCAAGACCUUGCGCUGAUUGAGCGGCCGAUGUCAGAUCAGCUAGUUGGUGAGGUAAAGGCUCACCAAGGCGACGAUCUAUAGCGGGUCUGAGAGGAUGAUCCGCCACACUGGAACUGAGACACGGUCCAGACUCCUACGGGAGGCAGCGGUGGGGAAUUUUGGACAAGGGGGGCAACCCUGAUCCAGCCAUGCCGCGUGAGUGAAGGAGGCCUUCGGGUUGUAAAGCUCUUUCGGCCGGGAAGAAAUCGCACGGGCUAAUACCCUGUGUGGAUGACGGUACCGGAAUAAGAAGCACCGGCUAACUACGUGCCAGCCGCCGCGGUAA